rnacentral:rRNA from 1 species
GAUGAACGCUGGCGGCGUGCCUAAUACAUGCAAGUCGAGCGAACAGAUGAGGAGCUUGCUCCUCUGACGUUAGCGGCGGACGGGUGAGUAACACGUGGAUAACCUACCUAUAAGACUGGGAUAACUUCGGGAAACCGGAGCUAAUACCGGAUAAUAUAUUGAACCGCAUGGUUCAAUAGUGAAAGACGGUUUUGCUGUCACUUAUAGAUGGAUCCGCGCCGCAUUAGCUAGUUGGUAAGGUAACGGCUUACCAAGGCAACGAUGCGUAGCCGACCUGAGAGGGUGAUCGGCCACACUGGAACUUAGACACGGUCCAGACUCCUACGGGAGGCAGCAGUAGGGAAUCUUCCGCAAUGGGCGAAAGCCUGACGGAGCAACACCGCGUGAGUGAUGAAGGUCUUCGGAUCGUAAAACUCUGUUAUUAGGGAAGAACAAAUGUGUAAGUAACUAUGCACGUCUUGACGGUACCUAAUCAGAAAGCCACGGCUAACUACGUG